rnacentral:lncRNA from 1 species
UUAUUAGGAAGAUUUUCAAAAGCAAACUGUAUAAACUUGUUCACUCCUUCCUUAUACUCUCUACUCAAACGGUUAGAAUUCAUCCAACUACGAUCCAUAACUACUACGUACUUCUGAAAAGAAAAAAAAGAUACUAAAACAGCAAGAAUGCGAUAAUUAAUUAUCAGGUGAAAAUGGUUCUAAUCGUAAAGGGGUUAAGUCAAAGAACAAAACAACUAAAAUUUAUAAACACUACAAUAAUCACCUAAACAUCAAAUAUGAUCAAGUGGCUGCACCACUCCAAGUGUUGUCAAAUAUCAGUGGCAUAACAUAUUGUGGUGGCUAAUUUUUUGACAACCGCCGUGGCCGGUUUGUGAAGGAUGGCAGCACUAUAGUGUUUUAUGGCGCAUAUGGCUGGUUAUAAUGACGAGUUUUUGGUUUUCGGCGGCGAUGUUUGCAACGUGUAACGACCCAAAUUUAUUAUUCACUAUUUAAGUGUUUAAUUAUUUGGUGAUAUGGUUUUUAAGUAAGAUAGUAACUUU